rnacentral:rRNA from 1 species
GUCGAGCGGGCACCUUCGGGUGUCAGCGGCAGACGGGUGAGUAACACGUGGGAACGUACCCUUCGGUUCGGAAUAACGCUGGGAAACUAGCGCUAAUACCGGAUACGCCCUUUUGGGGAAAGGUUUACUGCCGAAGGAUCGGCCCGCGUCUGAUUAGCUAGUUGGUGGGGUAAUGGCCUACCAAGGCGACGAUCAGUAGCUGGUCUGAGAGGAUGAUCAGCCACACUGGGACUGAGACACGGCCCAGACUCCUACGGGAGGCAGCAGUGGGGAAUAUUGGACAAUGGGCGCAAGCCUGAUCCAGCCAUGCCGCGUGAGUGAUGAAGGCCUUAGGGUUGUAAAGCUCUUUUGUCCGGGACGAUAAUGACGGUACCGGAAGAAUAAGCCCCGGCUAACUUCGUGCCAGCAGCCGCGGUAAUACGAAGGGGGCUAGCGUUGCUCGGAAUCACUGGGCGUAAAGGGCGCGUAGGCGGCCAUUCAAGUCGGGGGUGAAAGCCUGUGGCUCAACCACAGAAUUGCCUUCGAUACUGUUUGGCUUGAGUAUGGUAGAGGUCAGUGGAACUGCGAGUGUAGAGGUGAAAUUCGUAGAU